rnacentral:lncRNA from 10 species
CUAAAACUGCGGUCGACAGGCUUCACCAAUCUUGGAGCAGAAGGGAGCGUCUUUCCUAAGGUCAGGAUAACGGCCUCCAGAGACAGCCAGAUGCAAAAUCCCUAUUCAAGACACAGCAGCAUGCCCCGCCCUGACUAUUAGAAUCAUAAGAAUGUGGAACCCGCCAUGGCCCCCAACCAAUGUACAAGCUAUUAUUUAGAGUGUUUAGAAAGACUGAUGGAGAAGUGAGCACCAGUAAAGAUCUGGCCUCCGGGGUUUUUCUUCCAUCUGACAUCUGCCAGCCUCUCUGAAUGGAAGUUGUGAAUGUUUGCAACGAAUCCAGCUCACUUGCUAAAUAAGAAUCUAUGACAUUAAAUGUAGUAGAUGCUAUUAGCGCUUGUCAGAGAGGUGGUUUUCUUCAAUCAGUACAAAGUACUGAGACAAUGGUUAGGGUUGUUUUCUUAAUUCUUUUCCUGGUAGGGCAACAAGAACCAUUUCCAAUCUAGAGGAAAGCUCCCCAGCAUUGCUUGCUCCUGGGCAAACAUUGCUCUUGAGUUAAGUGACCUAAUUCCCCUGGGAGACAUACGCAUCAACUGUGGAGGUCCGAGGGGAUGAGAAGGGAUACCCACCAUCUUUCAAGGGUCACAAGCUCACUCUCUGACAAGUCAGAAUAGGGACACUGCUUCUAUCCCUCCAAUGGAGAGAUUCUGGCAACCUUUGAACAGCCCAGAGCUUGCAACCUAGCCUCACCCAAGAAGACUGGAAAGAGACAUAUCUCUCAGCUUUUUCAGGAGGCGUGCCUGGGAAUCCAGGAACUUUUUGAUGCUAAUUAGAAGGCCUGGACUAAAAAUGUCCACUAUGGGGUGCACUCUACAGUUUUUGAAAUGCUAGGAGGCAGAAGGGGCAGAGAGUAAAAAACAUGACCUGGUAGAAGGAAGAGAGGCAAAGGAAACUGGGUGGGGAGGAUCAAUUAGAGAGGAGGCACCUGGGAUCCACCUUCUUCCUUAGGUCCCCUCCUCCAUCAGCAAAGGAGCACUUCUCUAAUCAUGCCCUCCCGAAGACUGGCUGGGAGAAGGUUUAAAAACAAAAAAUCCAGGAGUAAGAGCCUUAGGUCAGUUUGAAAUUGGAGACAAACUGUCUGGCAAAGGGUGCGAGAGGGAGCUUGUGCUCAGGAGUCCAGCCGUCCAGCCUCGGGGUGUAGGUUUCUGAGGUGUGCCAUUGGGGCCUCAGCCUUCUCUGGUGACAGAGGCUCAGCUGUGGCCACCAACACACAACCACACACACACAACCACACACACAAAUGGGGGCAACCACAUCCAGUACAAGCUUUUACAAAUGUUAUUAGUGUCCUUUUUUAUUUCUAAUGCCUUGUCCUCUUAAAAGUUAUUUUAUUUGUUAUUAUUAUUUGUUCUUGACUGUUAAUUGUGAAUGGUAAUGCAAUAAAGUGCCUUUGUUAGAUGGUG